UACAUCGGAACGUGCCCUGUAGUGGGGGAGUAACUAGUCGAAGAUUAGCUAAUACCGCAUACGACCUGAGGGUGAAAGUGGGGGACCGGCAAGGCCUCAUGCUAUAGGAGCGGCCGAUGUCUGAUUAGCUAGUUGGUGAGGUAAAGGCUCACCAAGGCGACGAUCAGUAGCUGGUCUGAGAGGACGAUCAGCCACACUGGGACUGAGACACGGCCCAGACUCCUACGGGGAGGCAGCAGUGGGGAAUUUUGGACAAUGGGCGAAAGCCUGAUCCAGCAAUGCCGCGUGUGUGAAGAAGGCCUUCGGGUUGUAAAGCACUUUUGUUCCGGAAAGAAAUGGCUCUGGUUAAUACCUGGGGUCGGAUGACGGUACCGGAAGAAUAAGGACCGGCUAA
rnacentral:rRNA from 1 species